rnacentral:rRNA from 1 species
UGAAAGAGAUUAAAGAUUUAUCGGUGAUGGAUGGGGAUGCGUCUGAUUAGCUUGUUGGCGGGGUAACGGCCCACCAAGGCGACGAUCAGUAGGGGUUCUGAGAGGAAGGUCCCCCACAUUGGAACUGAGACACGGUCCAAACUCCUACGGGAGGCAGCAGUGAGGAAUAUUGGUCAAUGGACGAGAGUCUGAACCAGCCAAGUAGCGUGCAGGAUGACGGCCCUAUGGGUUGUAAACUGCUUUUAUAAGGGAAUAAAGUGAGCCUCGUGAGGCUUUUUGCAUGUACCUUAUGAAUAAGGACCGGCUAAUUCCGUGCCAGCAGCCGCGGUAAUACGGAAGGUCCGGGCGUUAUCCGGAUUUAUUGGGUUUAAAGGGAGCGUAGGCCGGAGAUUAAGCGUGUUGUGAAAUGUAGACGCUCAACGUCUGCACUGCAGCGCGAACUGGUUUCCUUGAGUACGCACAAAGUGGGCGGAAUUCGUGGUGUAGCGGUGAAAUGCUUAGAUAUCACGAAGAACUCCGAUUGCGAAGGCAGCUCACUGGAGCGCAACUGACGCUGAAGCUCGAAAGUGCGGGUAUCGAACAGGAUUAGAUACCCUGGUAGUCCGCACGGUAAACGAUGGAUGCCCGCUGUUGGUCUGAAUAGGUCAGCGGCCAAGCGAAAGCAUUAAGCAUCCCACCUGGGGAGUAC